rnacentral:lncRNA from 1 species
CACUAACUGAGGCAUUAUAUCGACUAUCGAGCAUUUAAAGCACACUCGCUGAAAGAGAAAGAAAAACCAAACUGACAAAGCUCAAACUUGAGCCCAAAUUUGCGACCAUCAACAGGCAACAAUCUAAAAUAGCAGCGCACAAACAGACGGGGACGGGACUCGCGCGAACCGGACAACAAAGCGAGGCAAAACAGGGCACAAAAAUGGGGAAAAGCAGAGGGCGGUCGGCAUGCUCCCUACCCGGCUCAACGGCGGCGAAUGGGGGCGAGCUCGAUAGAUAGGACUACGUCCGGUCGCCCCGCAAGCCCCCCGAACCGGGAUCCUCGGGAAAUCAACGCAACUCGAAACAAAUGAAAAAGAAACGAACAGAAACCUACCGUGGGGAGAGGCACGCUUGGCGAGGGUCGGCGGCCGAGGUCCAAGCGCGGCGGGUACUGGAGGAGGCCCUUCACUCACAGCCUCACUCUUCGCUCUCUACUUCUCGCUCUCUCUCUCUCACUCUCUCCCCCUUUCUCUCUUCUCCC